rnacentral:rRNA from 1 species
UACAGAGGGUGCAAGCGUUAAUCGGAAUUACUGGGCGUAAAGCGUGCGUAGACGGUUACAUAAGUCGGGUGUGAAAGCCCCGGGCUCAACCUGGGAAUUGCAUUCGAGACUGCGUAGCUAGGGUGCGGAAGAGGGAAGCGGAAUUUCCGGUGUAGCGGUGAAAUGCGCAGAUAUCAGGAAGAACACCCGUGGCGAAGGCGGCUCUCUGGGACGGUACUGACGCUGAGACGCGAAAGCGUGGGGAGCGAACAGG